rnacentral:other from 1 species
CAUCUCCUGCUGUGCUCGCGAGGAUCCGGGUACACCCUUGAGCCUUAAAUCGACUACCCGGGGCACUAAUAUCGCGGUGUUGUGAGCAGGUCCGCCGUUGUAGCGGAAAGCCUAAUGCAUCGUUGCGGUUCCCCCCUUGAACCGACCGGUUCGAGGACGAUGGAUCCAGCGGCACGAGCGGGAGGUGC